CAAUAUUUAAGUUGAUUUGGCAGACUUUCCUUAUUUUAGGGAAAUGAUUUAACCUUCAUUACUUUGACUUUCUAUUAAGCUCAAUACUUAAAUAACAUGUUAUGCAUAGCUAAUUUUGAGGAAACGGUUGAUACUUUUAAAAACGUAUACGACCCUUCGCCUUCUCUCCACCAUCCCAAUUAAUGCAUCCACGGUCCCAAUAGAAUUACAACUGUCGCUUCUCCAUCUCUAUACCACCCCUCUCAUAUCUCCUCUUGCUUCUCUUUUCUUUCUUUUUUUUUUUUUUGCUCUUUUAUAUCAACAUCAAUUUUCUCCUUUGCCUUCUCCUGUGCACUAUGGUAUAUCCCUCUCUCUCGCUCAAACUAAUGGUCCCCAUUAGACGGCGAGGGUUUCGUAGUCCCAGUACUUCUUGGGUUGAUGGACGUUGAGGUCAGGUCGACGUAGAUGGGGGCCUUGGAGGUAGCGUUAGGAUGUCGUACGAACUUGCCGAUGUGCUAGGCUAUGAAGAAUGAAAAAUUUGUAGCUAAACGAUAUAGUAUAAAGUUCAUAAUUUAAACAUGUACUAGCUAAGGGCGCGCGCGAUGCCGCGGGAAAAAAAUAUUUUGAUUAAUUUUCACAAUAUUUAUUUAUUUAGAUAUGUAUAAUUUUAUGAGUAUAUAAAAAUGUAUAAUAAUAUACGAAGUAGAAAAUAUAUCCCCACAAAUCAGAUGCAAUAUUUCGCACUAACUUUAUGUAAAGCACAUUCAUUUCAGAAAUUUAAUAAUAUUAAAUACAAUUAAAAUUUUAUUUAAUUUUUUAUUAAUUAUAGAUUAUUUUUAUUAGACGGAAUUUUUAAUUUUGUCAUACUAACUAUUAAAAUAUAGGGUUAGUUCGUACGAUAAUUAUUUUAAAAAGUUUUGGUUCAUGUCUUAUACUAUUAAAAAUAGGGUUGAUCCAUGCGAUAAUUAUUUAAAAAAAAGUUUGGUUCAUGUCUUAUAUACUCGGUGUAUACUUUUUUUUUUUUACACUGUAUAUAAAAAUCUAUUAAUUUUUGUAUAAAUUUUUUAUUAAUUAUACUAUUGAAAAAUAGAAUUGGUCAAUACGAAAAAAUUUUUACACUUAGUGUAUGCAAAAAUAUUUAUUAAUUAUAGAUUGUAUUUAUUACAUAAAAUUUUAAUUUUGUUAUAUUGAAUAUUAAAAAAUAGGGUUGGUCCAUGCGAUAAUUCUUAAAAAAAAAAGGUUUGGUUCACGUCUUAUAAUAUUAAAAAAUAGAUACUAUUAAAAAAUAGGAUUGAUCUGUGCGAUAAUUUUUUUUAAAAAAGGUCUUUAUAUACUCAGUGUACAACUUUUUUUACACUAUAUAAAAAUUUAUUAAUUUUUAUAUAUGAAUUUUUUUUAUCAAUUAUACUAUUGAAAAAUAGAAGGUUUGGUUCAUAUCUUAUAUAUUCGGUAUACAUCUUUUUUUAAAAAACAAUGUUUGGUUCAUGUCUUAUACUAUUAGAAAAUAGGGUUGAUCGCGAUAAUUAUUUUUUUAAAAAAGUUUGGUUCAUGUCUUAUAUGCUCGGUGUACAAUUUUUUUAUAGCCAUAUAUCAAAAUUUAUUAAUUUUAUAUAUGAAUUUUUAUUAAUUAUACUAUUAGAAAAUAGAAGGUUUGUUUCAUUCUUAUAUGCUGCGGUGUCAACUUUUUUACACCACAUAUAAAAAUCGAAUAAUUUUUGUAUAUAAAUUUUUAUCUAUAUACUAUUAAAAAUUAGAAUUGUUUAUACAAUAAAAUUUAUACUUGGUGUGGCAAAAAUAAAAAAGAGAAGAAAGUGUGAGAAAAAAAAAAGAAAAAAGGGUUUAGGAGUGAGAGAGAGAAUAGAGAGGAAAAAAAAAAAGAGUUGGCCCACGAGGGCGCGGAGAGCGUGGCUGUACGCUUCUCAGGUCCCCUUUCAUGUAUGGUUUGUAGAUAGGAUGGUCAAUACGUAUAAAAUUUUCACUUGGUGUAGGGUGAAAAAAGAAAACAAGUGUUAGUAGAAAAAAAAAAAAAAAAGAUGAAGAAAGAGGAGAAAAACACAGUGGGUAGACUGGUAGUUGAAGUUUUUUACAUCAUAUGAAAUUUUAAUUUUGUUAUAUAGACUAUUAAAAAUAUAGAUUGGUAUAUGCGAUAAAAUAUUACACUUAAUGUAGGUGAAAUAAAAAAGGUGUUGAAUAAUUUUUUUUUAAAAAAGGUGUAGGAUUGUGCGUAUGACAGAGAAAGAGAGAGAAUAUAUAUAUAUAUAUGUAGAGAGAAGAGAAGAGAGAGAGAGAGAGAGAGAGAGAGAGGGUGAGGCGAGGAGAGAGAGUGUGAGAAGAAAAAAAAAAAAGCCCACCGGAGUAAUGAGGAAGCUCCGUUGGGUUCCCAAUUAAUGUAUGGUAUAGAUAAGGAAAAAAUAAUUAUCCAUCCAAUUCAAUAACAAAUAGAUAAUUAAACAAUAAAGUAAUAAUAAUAGAAAAACAAAGGGGAUCUUUUUUUUAUUCAAGUUGUGGAACAAUUCAUAUCACCAUCGUGGGGGCCAAACUGCUGGUGUAUGUGAAAUGCUCCAUGAGUUAUGGUGAUCAUUGUUGUAUAUUUAAUAGUCAAACUAGCGGCAAAUAGCCAUGAAAGAUAAUGGGUAAACUAUCGAUCAGUAAGGUCAAAAUAAUUUCGAUAGGAUAAUACGUAUAACACCGACCGACUAGGUCAAAUAACUAACAAAUAAAUAAGUAAUGAAAUACUAGCACUUUAUAAUGUAAGAAUAAUCUAUAUAAUGUAUCAACUGAAGUAGAGCAACUAACAAUGAUGAGUUAAAGCAGUGCAAGAUAUACUCUGCCAUAAAGAAGAAUAGACUGAUAAGGAAAGGUAACAGAGUAAGCACCACUUUACCGACUUGCGAUCGAAGCACUCACCUAUAAAUCGAAUAUUUAAGUCCGCGAAUCUAUCAAUGCCUCCAGGUGCUGUGAGAAUCUAGACAUAACUACCAAAUGUCAAUGUAAGACAUUAUAUGUCCGCAUACCAACCGUGGCACAUAUACAGCAUCGAAUUGCACGACAACACACUUGAAACACCGGUUUUGCAACCCGACUUCCGGAACUAGAUCAACCCAUAAGCCCACUCUAUAAGAGUUCAAACUACUCUCAGACAUCAAGCUAAAAAUAAUCCAUGACACGAAAUCAUCAACAAAAGAACUGAUGCGAUUGGAACAUCGGCUUCUUUAACCGAUAUUUGAACGUCGCCUAAACUGUUACCUAACCUAUCGAGUCCUCUAACCAAGAGCAUUCCAAGACAUGCCAUAGAUCUCUUUAGACUACCCGCUGUCUCAAAACACACUAAUUUAGGUGUUGAGAUAGUCGCAUGGGAGGUGUGCACCAAUAGAGACCUUGGCCCUGCCCUGGCUCCAAACUAGGUUGCAACGGUUCUGAUGUACACCGACCUUGGUGUAGGGACCAGCAAGAGAUAGAACACUCAUGUUGCUGGUUUCAACUAGCAAAUACCCUGCGAAACACAUCCCACGAGUUCUGGAGUCCAAGUGUACGAUCAAUGCACUAAAUGGCGGAGUUUCGGCCUUGAUUAGUCUCAAAGUUGCCAUUUUCGGCAUUGGGACAACACAUGAUUGCAUGAUUACUUUUGAGGAUCAUUUCCAGUUGGAAUGUGACUACAAUAGAGCUUUGGCUAGCGACAAGUAUGGCCGCACACUCCUAAACCAAUUGUUUGCCCAAAAAGCCCAAUUUUAGUGUUUUGAAUAUCAUUUCGGUGUCAAACAAUGCACAUAGUAUGUGUUUAACACCAAAGGCGGCCAUAAUACUAUCUCCUACAUAAACAUGACAUGAAGUCGCCAAAAAUGCCAACAACGUGACCAGAACAUCGGCUUCAACUACCGAUUUUUAAUUUUAGUUGAUAUUUACGAAAACUUGUUGAAAUAGCCAUUUAUGUGUCGGGGGACAAUUUCAGUUUGAAAUUCACUUUGUGUCUCAUCAUCCCACCCACUGUCCCAAAAUACACCAAUUUAGGUGUCGGGACAGCCGUACACAAAGUGCAAACUAAAAGAAAUUUCAGUAUCCAAAUAUGCCAUUUUUGGCUCCAGAAGUGUCAUUUUUUGGGCAUCGGAAUCCACCACGAUUCUCUUGCUGUCACCAGACAUACAAUGUAGCAAGGAUUGACCGCCAAGAAAGCUUAGCAAUGCCCAAAGAUAGCGACAAAAGUGUUUAUGUGAAUUUCAAAUUGAAAUUGUAUUAUAAUGAUCGAUUUAAGGGACAAAAAUACCGAAAAGCCCUAUUUCAGUUUCCAAUUGAUUUUCGGACUUAGGACGACUAGUUCGGGGCUUCAACAUGCAUAAUAGACACUGCCCAAGGUAGCCUGCUAUGCACAAUUGCAGAAAGGGUCCAAAGUUUUCAUCUAUUAUGCGAUUUAAUAAGAAAAUAUAGUUUUAUCUCGUUACCUAGGCUAUUCGAUCGAAAAGCCAAAUCGUCACAUACGCUAGUAGGCAGCGAUGCUCUGAACACCAUGGUCUACCUACGAAGCGUCAACGACAAUGGAUGUUGAUGAAGUUCCAUCUUUGUAGUUCUAUUGGAAAAUGGUCCAAAAGAACCAUCGGUGCAACUCAACACACAUGCUUUCCUACCUACAACUAGGGUGAGCACAGCAAUGAGGGUGGUUGAGAGAUCACUGUACUCUACUAAAUUGUGGUCGUGGGUCUGGGGCCACUUGCAGGCAGCAGUAGGAGCAGUUUAGAAGCUGUUGCGCAGCUAGGGGUGGUAGGGGCCGAUCGAGAAGGGUAUGGUUGGCUGAAGGGAAGGACAAUGGUGGCUGGAAGGUUAUUUGGGAGAGGGGAGAGGAAAAAGAAUAAAGGAAAGAAACCCUAACUUCUAAUCAACAAAUAAUGUAACAAUUACAGGAUAUUGCCUGCACUAUUUUGCCUUAUCCAUUAUGGUCAUCUCUCAGUCCUGUUCGUAUAGAAGUCCUCCAUUUUAAAAAAUUCUUAACUUUGACACAUGAAAUAAUAAUUUUUCACAAGUAGCUCUAUUUCUAAAUUUUGUAAAAAAAUAUGUUCUAGCGCCUCCAAUUCACAACUUCUUGCUUAAAAAAUUUCAUACAAUUCGACACAUAAGAUGUUUUGCUUUUUGCAGAAAAAUCCAUUUUUCGAUUUUUUUCUCAACCGUUCUUAUCUCCUGAACAUCACUUAAUCAUGAGAAAUUAUACGAAAGUCCUUCUCAUGACUUAUAGCACUGUCAAACAUUCGAGGUGGUGAUUUUUUUAGUAAAAGCUAUCCAAUUAGACAAAAAUGCUCAUAAUAUUUUUGAAAUUUAUAUUUAAAAUCUCAGAUUCUAUAUUAUUCCCUACGUAAAUAAAGUUUCGUCCUCUAAACUUAAUUAAAAAUCCCCUGUAAUCAAAUUUGGGAUUGCUUUUGCAUUACAACUUGGCUCCCAAGUAAGUUCUCCUAUUUAACUUUUAAAUACGAAAUGAUUUGAUUUCGUAAUAGUGUUUUCUCUUGUACCAAAAUCUGCUUCGGGGCUUCCGUGGAGCUCGAAAUCUUUCGAAACUGAAUUAUAGUAUGUUAAUCAUCCAGAAUGGAUCUGGAAUACACUUUCAAAGCAAUGAGAUGUAGAAUCACGUUAUUUCACACAGGCGAGACUAAGAGGAAUACCCAUCAAUGAUCUAUCAGACGAAUACGCUCUAGAAUUACAAACCGUCCAAUAAACUAUGGACCAAACCCAUUCCGUAACCUGGACCACUUGAUCUCCCUCAUUCGCAAAACUUAGAGUAGCACAUGCUCACCAAACUAGAACUAUAGGUAGUGCCAACGCUGGCCCGUGUACCUCCUUUGCAGGCUCUACACAAUAAGAAUUUGCCACUUUGCCAUGCGAAUCUUGGCCUGUGUGUCCUCUACUAAGUCUUGCUUGAUCACAAACAGAUUGAGAACCUAGUAUUUAUGUCCAUACAAUGCCUCUUAUAUAAGGUGCCGUCUUGAUGCUCGCCAAAUGGCUAUCAUUAUAGGCGAACUCCACUAAGGGUAAAAACUUGAACCAAUCUUCGUCAUAAUCCAACACCCAUGCCUAGAGUCUUUGAGGACCUGAACAAUACAUUCCAACUAGCCAUCUUCACCAACUAGCCCACAAUGUCCCAAAAUGCGUAGUCACCUCGCGACAAUCGAGGCAAACCUCAGACACUCCCACUUCCACAUGGACAUAGAGAAAGAUUAUAGCUUACCCGCUAGCCAUUGGACUUAGUUUUUACCUUCCGACACACCAAGCAUUAAGCUACUUGUUGUUCCACAUUUGCCUUCAUUUACGAUCAGCAGAAAUGUGAUUAACAUCCUAAUGUAUCUUGGUACCGCUGGGAUACAUAGUGUAUGAAGACCCAUGUGCCCCUGCUAGGAUCUCUUGCCUCAAAUCGAUGUUAUUGAGCAUACAUAAACAAUCUUGAAGAUAGAGAAAAUCGUCAGAGUGGAUAACGAAGUCCCCCACCUUUCCCUACUUAGCAUCAGAACACAGCUUCUGUAGGUGCAGGCCUAACUACUGCCCAAGCCUAAUUCCUUCCACCAAGAUUGCUAUACUACCAAGGCCAUCAAUCAAGUAGUUGACCCUAGGAGCACGACCUCCAACUAUAACGGAUGAAACUACUUAACCAAGCGAUCUUGCUCGGUGCCCAUAAUCGAUAACUCAAAGAUGCAUGUUUUUGGCGCAAGACAUCAAGCACCACAUCCACCAUGUUUACAUUUUGCUAGUGGCACUGGAAGAAGAGGUUGUAAUCCUUUAAGAGCUUGAGUCAUACUCAAUUUGGUGUUUUCAUCUAAAGUUAACAAUGCUCGCCUCAAGGCUAUAGGCUCACACUUGCUUAUAUUAAAGAUUCUAAAACUUAACACUUAUAAAUCGAAAUCUGCCGACGGUAUCGACUAACAUCUAGGUCUUUGUAAGAUAUGGAUCUCGAGGAUCUAAAAGGUGAAAAAUACACCUAGAGGGGGGUGAAUAGGUGUAAACGGUAAAAUAAAAUAAACUCGAUGCGAAUAUGAAAUAAAUGCGGAAAAUAAAAUCAGCACACCGAGAAUUAACGUGGGAAAACUCCAAAUCGGAGAGAAAAACCCACGGGACCGAUCACACAAAGAAAUCCACUAAGAAAACAUGAGUACAAGUGAUUUAGCAAAAAUACAAGACUCAAAAUACCGAAUCCUCGUUGUAGAUUAUCUUUGCUAGUCCACGAUCGCUUGGAAUCCUCCAACCGAUCACACUGCAAGUCCUUGCAGCCGCACACGCCUCGAUUCCACGAAACGCCCACCGAAUCCACGGUCUCCACGCGAGAUCCACGCGCUAACGCUCCAUCCGAAGCUCGUAGAAGUUCAACAAUUUGUGGUGAUUAAAGGUCUUUGAAAGCACAUAUAAUAUGAGGAGAAACCCGAAUUAAAACAUCACCAAUUUGAUCCUUAACUAAAAUUUGAAUCAAAACGAAGAAUCAAAUUGAUGAUCUAACGCUUGAUGUUUUAAAAACAUAGAACCGAAACUCCGAAUCAAGCCGUUAGGGUUUUUAAAAAGUUAUCUCGCUCAACUCUCUUCAAAUAGAGAUCCUCAUAUCAUAUUUAUAGGUUUAGAAGACUUCUAGAUAGAUUAGGAUUCCAAAAACUCAAUUUUAAAAACUGACGACGGUCUCAGGGUCCGGUCCUUUCGAGGAGACCGGUCCUUGGGAGACCGGUCCUCCAAGGUGAGGUCCGGUCUUUCGCUGCGUAGAUGUCAAAAUAUGCGUACGGGGACCAGUCCUCAAUUUAGAGACCGGUCCUUCCCUGCGCAACAAGGAAAACCACGUACGGGGACCGGUCCUCAUGAUCAGAGACCGGUCUCCCAAACCUUCUACGCAAAGAAGCUUGAUGGGUCCGGUCCCUCUGAUCAAGGACCGGUCCCCGACCCCUGAGUUUUUUCAGAAAACUUAAGUUUGAAUAAAUAAAAAGGAAACCAAGUCUUCUAAACAUCUUUUAACAAUGAAAACUUCACCACAAAUUAUUUAUAAUCAUACCUGCGUUCUUAAGGGUCUUUGAUCACAAAAACUUCAAUUCUUUUCGUCAAUCUUCAUCUUCUAAUUCUUCGAGACUCCGUCCAAACCUUCACGAAAUUCGCCAACUUAUAAAAUCCUUAACAGUCUUAAGACCUAACCUACCACCCUGGCGAAAACGACUCAGAGCUACUACUACCAAGUGAGCCCUCUAUUCCAAAUUGAUUAAUUUCUUCAUUUGAAUAUAUCAGACCCGACGAAUACGUUACAUACAUGCUACUAGGUGAAUUGGGCUGUCAAUUGCGGCACGAUACUAUAACCACUAGCGAUGCCCAACAUCUAUUUCUUAAGACCAUGUCGCUCUCAUCUCCAAAGUGAAUGAUGCAACUCAUGUCUUCAGGCAAUGCUAACCAUCUAUCUCAAUGAGACCUUGACAUGCCUGUCACCAAGUAAUCCAGAAUAGUGAUUGUAUCAUAAUAGAUUUCUAAGGGCUCACCACCGUCAAUCCCUAUGCUUGGGCACAUUAUAAACCACAUACGCUCUCUAGUGCCAUAUCCAAUGAACCUACAACUAGAUUUACCACCCAUCAACCGAGAACCAAAGCGUUAUGGUAGCUCAACCAUGACUAACCGAACUAUCUAACAUUCUUGUUUGGUGAAAUUUGGCCUUGCGUUCGAGAGUAUAGGUGCUUUGGGGGAUUCUUUGAGCUUCACUACCUACUUGAACCUUUUGUUGUGUACUUCUUCUCUUUGUCCUUAUCAUAAGCUUCUCUUUCCUCGGGCAACAUCACUAUUCCCCGCUCAACCCAUAACACCCACUCAACCACCUCCCGAAAGGUUUGGAGACGGUGGAAUUGCACAAACUUAUAUAUCUCUAGUUGGAGCCCCCACUCGAAACCCUUAGCCUUGUUCCGCUCAUUAUGAAUGGUGAAGGCAAUGCAAUUGAGAAUUUGAGUAAACCCCCUCUUAUAUUUUCCCACUAUAUUGCUUUCUUGCUAGAGCUUCUUGCAGUUGUCCUUCAACUACGUCUUGAUGCUCCCGGGGAAGUACGCAUUGUAGUGUUCUCCCCGAAACUCCUCCUAUGUCAUUAACGACGCCCCCGCGGGCCCUCCUUUCUUAAUCUUCUUCUACCAAGUGUGGGCUUCUCCCCUCCGAACAGUGCGCCACCAAGUGAACCUUCUCUUAGUCCGUGAUGAACAAGUCCUCGAAGCACUUCUCUAUCGAGUCGACCCACGCCUACCCCACCAAUGGUCGACGGUUGCUCUACUGAAUUUUGUCUGGUUGAACUUUUGAAGUUUGCAAGACUCACCCGGGUUCACUCUUGCUCUGCCUCAAGUGUAGCUUGAUUCACGAUAGAGGUAUCCGAUGUAGUCCCUGAAGGCAUACGGUGAGCCGUAAUGGGUUUGAUUGCCCUUAUUACCCUUUCAGCAUUAGUUUGGGAUGUGAUAGGAAGUGGGUCCUGUCCAGGACUAGUUUGAGUUGCACCCUGUUGCGACAUCAAUUUAUGUAGCUUCUUUAUAUGCUCCUUUUGUCAUUAGGAGCCUUCUGCUUCCUGUGAACUAUUCCCACCUGUCGCUCCGUAACUCAUAUCAAGGCAGCCACUUGCCCUAGAAGCUCUCAAACUUUACUUAACCCAUAUUGCUUGGGCACCUCGUGUUGGGCUGCAGUAGCCCUCUUCCACGGUUGUCCACUUGGUGCCAUCUUACUUCUUGAAACAUAGCAACAUCAGUUUUUUUUUUUUUUUUUUUUUUUUUUUUUUUUUUUUUUUUUUUUUUUUUUUUUUUUUUUUUUUUUUUUUUUUUUUUUUUUUUUUUUUUUUUUUUUUUU
rnacentral:lncRNA from 1 species